AGGUGACUGUAUUCAGGCGACACCCACCCUUCUGGUACUUAUUUUAUUUCCAAAUGAUCACGAUGUUCAGCUCCAUGAGUUUUGUCACACGUCAAGUCACGUGGCCACCACCUGGCUGGGUAGUGAUGGGUACAUAAGCCUCCCAUCACCCCCAAACAUUUCCCCCGUCUGUUCACUCGGGUUGCACAGCACCCCUCUUGUGCCCCUGGCAACCACAGAUCUGUUCUCCGUCAUUCACAUUCUGUCUCCUCGAGAAUGUCACAAAAAUGGAAUGGUACACUGUGGGACAUUCCGGGACUCGGUCCACUCACCAAUGCAGCGCUUCCGGCACGCCUCCAAGCUGCUGUGUGUACCACUGCUCAGCCCCCUGCCUGCUGCUGUUAACUGUGAGACCUAA
rnacentral:lncRNA from 1 species